rnacentral:lncRNA from 1 species
GAAAUGUGUCUUUCAAAAAAAAAAAAAACAGAGCUUCACAGGUUCAAACAAUGUGGAUGAUUUGUCAGUAGGCAGGAAGAAGUAGACUCACUGAAAUCUAAGUGCACGGAAAAAAAUCAAGUUAAACAUCAUUAUUAAAAACUAUAAUAUACCAAAAUAUAUAAACAUGCAUGUACACAAUAAUAAAUAAACAUUAAAAAAAUACUUCCGCACAGACACACACUCACAGCCACACCUUCACACACCUUCACACACACACACACACCUUCACACACACACACCUUCACACACACACACACACACACACACACACACACACACACAGGGGGAGGAGCAGAUGAAAUUGAAAGAGUUCAGUGAGUCAGUCUCACCUGACGAGAACAGGAGCAAAAACAGGAAACUGACGCAGUGUGUAGAAAGCUGUGAGCAGCGUCUGGGAGGAAGGUCAAGGGUCAGUCAGUUUCUCCAGCAGCAGAGAAGAGGGAACGACAAGAGACGACGAGGAGACAAACAUGGAGGAACAUGUUGGAGCUUCACCUCUCAGACCAGAGAAGAUGAGUGAUCUGGAGGAAGACGAGGACAGAGCAGAGUCUCCAGUGUUCAGCUGGUUGUCCAUGAAGAGUGACCGGUCCAAAGGUGAAUCUCCAUUCUUCAGUCCUGAACCUGGACCCUCACACUCUGAUGUUGGAGCUUCACCUCUCAGACCAGAGAAGAUGAGUGAUCUGGAGGAAGACGAGGACAGAGCAGAGUCUCCAGUGUUCAGCUGGUUGUCCAUGAAGAGUGACCAGUCCAAAGGUGAAUCUCCAUUCUUCAGUCCUGAACCUGGACCCUCACACUCUGAGUAAGAGACUGUGUCCACACCUCACGUUGUGUCUGGUUCAGUAAAUCAACCUCCAACAUGUCGAUGUAGAAACUCUUCACAGUUUCCAGUCACAGAGGAAAUGUUCACAAUGGGAAGAUGCUCAUUACAAGUUCUGAUGAUGUGAUUAACAUAUUUGAUUUAGGCCUGCAACUAAUGAUUAUUCCGUCAUUUAUUUUCAAGAUUAAUUGAUUAGUUGUUUGGUCCAUAGUCAUGAAACUGUGAAAAAUGUUGAUCGUGUUUCCCAAACCCUGAGAUAUUUUGUUUUGUCCACACCAACAAUAUAUUGAGUUUACUGUCACAGAGGAGCAAAGAAAUCCAAACAUAAUUACAUUUAAGAAGCUGAAAUCAGAGAACUUUGCCUUUUUUUUCAUAAAAACUAAUUGAACCACUAAAUUCGAUAAUCAAAUUAAUCGGUGAUUAAUUUCGCUAUUGAUUACUAAGCGAUUAACGGUUGCAGCUCUAAUUUGAUUUGUCCACAGUCACAGUCUUCCUGUCUGAUCUGCUUCCUGUCAGAUCUCAUGCUUCCUGUCUGAUCUGAUUCCUAUAUGAUCUGUUUCCUGUCUGAUCUCCUGCUUCCUGUCUGAUUUCCUGCUUCUUGUCUGAUUUCCUGCUUCCUGUCUGAUUUCCUGCUUCCUGUCUGAUCUCCUGCUUCCUGUCUGAUCUGUUUCCUGUCUGAUCUCCUGCUUCCUGUCUGAUCUGCUUCCUGUCAGAUCUCCUGCUUCCUGUCUGAUCUGAUUCCAAUCUGAUCUGCUUCCUGUCAGAUCUCCUGUUUCCUGUCUGAUCUGAUUCCAAUCUGAUCUGUUUCCUGUCUGAUUUCCUGUUUCCUGUCUGAUUUCCUGUUUUCUGUCAGAUUUCCUGCUUCCUGUCUGAUUUCCUGCUUCCUGUCUGAUCUGAUUCCAAUCUGAUUUCCUGUUUUCUGUCUGAUCUCCUGCUUCCUGUCUGAUUUCCUGCUUCCUGUCUGAUUUCCUGCUUCCUGUCUGAUUUCCUGCUUCCUGUCAGAUCUCCUGCUUCCUGUCUGAUCACCUGCUUCCUGUCUGAUCACCUGCUUCCUGUCUGAUUUCACCUGUU